GAGUUUGAUCCUGGCUCAGGACGAACGCUGGCGGCGUGCCUAACACAUGCAAGUCGAACGGAGAAUCAGCAAUGAUUCUUAGUGGCGAACGGGUGAGUAACGCGUAGACAACCUGCCUUCUAGAUGGGGACAACACUGCGAAAGUGGUGCUAAUACCGAAUGUUGUAUUGAACCUGCAUGGGCUUGAUACUAAAGGUGGCCUCUAUUUAUAAGCUAUCACUAGAAGAUGGGUCUGCGUCUGAUUAGCUAGUUGGUGAGGUAAUGGCUCACCAAGGCGAUGAUCAGUAGCCGGUCUGAGAGGAUGAACGGCCACACUGGGACUGAGACACGGCCCAGACUCCUACGGGAGGCAGCAGUGGGGAAUCUUCCGCAAUGGACGAAAGUCUGACGGAGCAACGCCGCGUGAGUGAAGAAGGUUUUCGGAUCGUAAAGCUCUGUCUUUGAGGACGAAUGUGUCUAAUGUGAAUAAUGUUAGAUAAUGACGGUACUCGAGGAGGAAGCCACGGCUAACUACGUGCCAGCAGCCGCGGUAAUACGUAGGUGGCAAGCGUUGUCCGGAAUUAUUGGGCGUAAAGCGCGCGCAGGCGGGAUAUUAAGUCUGUUUUAAAAGUUCGGGGCUCAACCCCGUGGUGGAAUGGAAACUAAUAUUCUUGAGUGCAGGAGAGGAAAGUGGAAUUCCCAGUGUAGCGGUGAAAUGCGUAGAUAUUGGGAGGAACACCAGUGGCGAAGGCGACUUUCUGGACUGUGUCUGACGCUGAGGCGCGAAAGCCAGGGGAGUGAACGGGAUUAGAUACCCCGGUAAUCCUGGCCGUAAACGAUGGGUACUAGGUGUAGGAGGUAUCGACCCCUUCUGUGCCGGAGUUAACGCAAUAAGUACCUCGCCUGGGGAGUACGGCCGCAAGGUUGAAACUCAAAGGAAUUGACGGGGGCCCGCACAAGCGGUGGAGUAUGUGGUUUAAUUCGACGCAACGCGAAGAACCUUACCAGGGCUUGACAUUGAGUGAAAGAC
rnacentral:rRNA from 1 species